AUACCUUCUGGCCUCCAAGGGUGUCAGGUAUGCAUAUGGUACACAGACAUACAUGCAGUAAAAUACCUGUAGGCAUAAAAUAAAAACAAUGAAAUUUUAAAAAAUUAAGUGACGUGGCCACUCUGACAGAUUUUAGUACUUCUUCACUUAAAUGGUAGGGACUUAGAAACGGUUUUCUUUUCAACAGCUUAGUGACCCUUCCAGAAGUGUCAUCUGAAACAGCAGCUUAUGAAGGCUGGGAACAGGAGAGGGACAUUCCCCAUGUCACAACCAUAUCUGCCCUCUGAAGCAGGAAUUGCAAUCCCUUUUAAGGUGGGCAAGAAGGACUGACUCUAGCACACCUUGAGCGAUGAUGCUGGCUCCCCAGGAUCCCCACCAUUUCAGAGCCACCUCCUUCUGCCAUCUCAGACAUCUCAAGGUGUAAAGUUUUCUUCAGGAGUAAAUAGCUGGGUCUCAGAGGCUGUCUGAGGCCAGGAACUUCCCUCUGGAAGGGGCUGGCUGCUUUCACCUCCACACAGAAGCAAUC
rnacentral:lncRNA from 1 species